AGCACAAACCAGUGGUGAAAACUUGAUUUUGACUCACUGAGAUGGGGUGAGAGAAGAACAAUAAAACAAUCACACCCAGAACCUAAAAUUUGAAGAUUUUAAGCAGAAGCCAGAAAAAUAUCAUUCUUACUUGAUCACACUAAGAUAAAAGAAAUAAAAUCAGAAUAAACAAGAAUGAGAUAGAUACUAACUUAGGUCAAGAA
rnacentral:misc_RNA from 1 species